UCCUGGCUCCCUAACCGAGCACGUGGCUCUCCGGGUAAGCCGACGGAGGGGUCGUGACUGCUGGUCCAACCUUUCUGUGUAGGUGUGCAGCUGCCAGAGCCUCUGAUUCCGAGCCAUCCAAGCCGUCGGGAGCCCUGAAUACGUCGUCUUCCAGUUGGCUAGCUCAGCGACUCAGAUGGAAAGUAAAGAGAUGAUGUGACUCCGUCCACAUGGAGACAUUAGCUUGUGUUGCGUAUUUUAACUUUACAGACCGUGUUUGUGCUGUAGUGCCUUUACGCUUCUCGUGGCAAACAGUCUGGAAUGUCAUUAAAACUUUUCCAAUAAAAUGUGCAAAUUUUGGCAAAACAAACAGAA